rnacentral:lncRNA from 1 species
UCAAGGGCAUGAAAGAAAGAGAAAAAUAUUCUCUCUUAUAUAUGAAAAAUUGAGAAGAAAGUGUUCUUCUCUUGAUCUCUAUUGUAGAGAUCAGAUGCAUCGAUCCAGAAAGAAAAAGAGAGGGUCUCUUUAUUCUUCAAUUCCAUCAUAUUUCUCUAAAAUCAACCAAUGGAUGGUGUCUUCACGGGCUAGCACUCCCGG